UGAACUCGUCGAGCACGCGAAGCGUGGACAUCCACGAUAGCUGAAAUAUCGAAAUAUUCGCUUACCUCGUAAACUCGCGGUCGUUCGUGUGAGGGCGUUGUGUAAGAUCCAGAGGGCAAUAUGGCUGAUCGAACUACAAAGUGAUGUGACGAGAUCAACGUGUAAUCGCCGAAUGAAAAAUGACGCCACGAAGAAAGAGCGGGAAGAAGUGAGCAUCGCAGGGAGGGCACGUAUUAGGUUAUUGUAGAUUCAUUUGCAAUGUCGUAACGAUACGUUUUUGAACGUUCUUUCGGGCGGGAAGUUUUAAAAUUUUAUCUCGCUUAUAAAAAUCAUAGAUAUUGUACAGAUAUUAUUUAUAAUAGUGUAACUUUUUUAAGACAGUUAAUGACUUUACCUCGAUGCUAAUUAUAACAUGUUACAUAAAUAAAUAUAAAUUAUCGUUGAAAUGGAACAUAUUAUUUUGAAUCGGAAAUAUUCCAGGAUUUUCGAAUAGAGGUAAAAAAAUGAGUUAGUUAUCAGUUUACAUUUGAAAAAAUAAAUGCGGUAAUCGUGGCUAAAUAUUUGUACAUCUACAUAUAAUUCAUUUUGAAUGCUACCAUUUUACAAUGUAUAUAUAAUGUAAAAUUUACAAAAUAUAAUCAAAGUUAUAUAAAAUUUACAAAAAUAGCUUAGCUGUGAUAUUUUGGGAAGAUAAUAUUAGGAUGAAUUUUAUAACAAAGCUCACAACAUUUAUUGGUUAAUGUCAAAAAAUAUGAAAUGGGAAAAGUAAACGUAUCGGACAUAGUCAAAAUUUGAGAUAAAUAUAAUUCUAUAACGAUCACUUUCUUUUUUUUUUUUUUUAUAUAUAUAUUUUUUUUCUUUUUCUUUUUCUUUUAUAGUAAUCUAAUAAGAAUAACGAUUUUUAGCAAAAUGUAUCCAUGCCUAAAUGCUUGAAUUUUAUAAAAACCAUAUCAAGAAAUGGUCUCGUACAUUUUAGACUAGAUUUCAUACUUUAACGUAUUUUAUAUACCACGAUGAAUAUGGCAGUUUUCAAGAUCAGCAUUUUGUAUAUCGCUUCUUAAGAUAUAUAUAACUGCAAUUGCCAUUAAGACUGUCAAUAUUAUAGAAAAUAUUUGCAGAUAUUUUAAUUCUUUGUAUAAUUUGUUGCAAUUUUCUUCCAAAUGAAUUACCUAAAAUAUUGUAUGUAAUAUACAAUUUGAAAUACGUAUCCAUAAUGAUAACGAAUUAAUUUUUAUUCCAUAUACCUUAGAACAAAGUGUGUCUAUUGUACGAUUCUCUUCUAUGGAACCAGAUGAUAAUAUAGAAUAUGUUUUCUGUACUUCAUUGUUCUCAUUUGCACCAUCGCAACAUCUUAAUCUGUGUUGCUCAGCAGGUUUGCCGGACUAUACAUAAAUACACAUAAUAUUUUAUGUUAUAUAAAAAAUGUACAACUACAUUUUGUAGGCAUACCUUCCAUAUUGUCGUUAAUUCUUGUGCGGUUGCAGCAGCGUUUUUAACAGGAAGACACAUUACCAGAAAUCUAUCAUUAUUUGAGAGACCACGCAGAUUGUAUCCUGGUUGAAAAACGACUGUAACGCUGCACCGUUCGGAAGGAGAUAUAAUACCUGAACUUGGUCUUACCCUAAAUUUCUGUGGUGACGUAGUUUUAAUCUAAAAUAUAUAAAACAUUUUUUAAAUUAUAAAUAAUUAAUAUAAGAGAUAAAUCGUUGGAAAUAAUAGAAAAAUAUUUAACUGUACUUUGUAAGAUAAAGGCUUAUCAGUUGUGACAUUUUUUAAUAUAAUUCUGCCAACGAUUUCAUUUCCUUCUUUGUUGAACGUAACUGCUUCUGGUUCAAUUAAGAGCACUGAAAAAAGUAAGUUAAAAAAUAAAAUAAAUUUCUUUUUAUUACAAUACAAUAUAAUUUUAUUGUAUAUAAAUUUUAUUACUUUAAUUGUCUACAUCUAUAAAUCAUAUGUACUUACAUUGUUCUUCACUUACUUGAUCUCCAAAUCCACUAGGGGGUUGUUCCGUUAAUGGAGAACUUUCAACGAAAUGUACCUGCACGUGUAAUUUAAUAAAAUUAAAUAAGUGAUAAAGACAAAUUAAAAAUUAUA